UACGGAGGAUCCAAGCGUUGUCCGGAAUUAUUGGGCGUAAAGAGCUCGUAGGCGGUUUGUCGCGUCUGCUGUGAAAACUCGGGGCUUAACUCCGGGCCUGCAGUGGGUACGGGCAGACUAGAGUGCGGUAGGGGAGACUGGAAUUCCUGGUGUAGCGGUGAAAUGCGCAGAUAUCAGGAGGAACACCGGUGGCGAAGGCGGGUCUCUGGGCCGAUACUGACGCUGAGGAGCGAAAGCGUGGGGAGCAAACAGG
rnacentral:rRNA from 1 species